AGAUUCAGCCUUCUGAGCUGAACAAGGUGGAAGAGGCUGCUAUUGGAGUGGAUGGAGCCAUAAAGGCAGCUGCUACUGAGGUCAAGGCCGAUCACAUGACCAGAGUCUCCGUCACAUUCAACACCAUCCCAUGAGCAGCAAUCACCGGUUUCUCCAUCAACUUUCCAUGAUGCAACCUUAGGAUAAGCAGAAGGAUCAGAAGAAGCGGACUCAUUAAUGACAAGGCUUUCCUUGAGCUGCAACAAGGCAUGACUCUCCUCAUCAUGGCAUAGAGGCUGCAUGGAAGGAGAAGAAGAAGCAGCUCUAAGAUGAAACAAAGACAGCAAAAAGAGCAAAAGCAUCCGCAUGGUUAAGAAACACACAGGUGAUGCCAAUUUUUUUUUUUGUUAACUAUCUUUCUCUAAAAGUAAAUUAAUCCUUGGUUUUCUUAAUGAGCAAAUAAGUGAGGCAAUGGAGUUUAUAUAGGGCCCCAUCCAAUUUCAAAGUCCAAGUCUCCCACCACACAUGCCAAAGUUUGGACAAGCAUGAUCAUGUUAUCCAUGACUGAAAUAAACGUGAGAUAUAAUAAAGUUGUAUAAAUGAUUUAAAUGCUGAAAAGAAAUGUGUUCAUCAUAAUGGCUUUUGACUGCGAAACCAAGAUGUGAUUCAAAACAGUGAGAUUAAAUUGAACUACAAAUUAAAUUCAAAUACUAAAUUAACAAAAACCAUCUUUCAUGUUAAAUAUAAUUGCUCUGUCUAUUUUUCAUACAAUUGAUUGUCGCCUUCUUCUGCAGCGCAGUUACAAGGUAGCUAGCAUACAUUUUGAUUUCUCCUCUAAUUUACCAUCAAGAUCAUACAUUUAAUUUAAUUUAGUUGCUUAAACAAUUUUUAUUAUAGAAUGCCCAUAGCUAACGACUCAUUAAAAACUAUUUCUACAUUCUUAGUUUUCAUUUCAAAUAUUUUUAUAUCAUUUUUUUUUAUAAAAAUAUUGUCUUUAGUUUUCAAGUCUCUCAAAAUAUAUUUUUUAGUUAUUUUUAUUUUUUGAUUCAGUUUAAUAAUUUUAUUUUUUAUUUAAAUAAAAUAAUUUUUCUUCUUUAUUCAUUAUUAUUACAAUUUUCUAAUUUUUUAUAUAAAAUAUUGUAAUAAUUUUGUGGAAAAUAAGAUAUAGACAAAUAAAAAUAAAAUAUUUUAGGUGACUCUCCCUCCAUAGUUAUGAUAUUUAGAUUCCUUAAAAGUUUUUAGUUAUAAUAACUUAGUUAUUCCUCGUUUCUAUAUAUGUUAUUAAAAACAAUAUUAGAGUCGAAGGAGCCAUAAAGACAGCUGCUACUGAGGUCAAGGCCGAUCACAUGACCAGAGUCCCCAUCGCAUCCAACAACAUCCCAUGAGCAGCAAUCACCACUUUUUCCUAUCAACUAAAAGGUUUGAUAUAUAUCUAUUAGUAUGGUGGAAAAAUAAACAAGCAGUUGACAUGAAGAAGUUGCUGGACAACCAGUUCCAAUAUUCCACUGCGACUGUCAAAGUUAAUUGGCCAAAAUCACAAACUUGUGAUAUGGUCUCAAAGAAAUGAAUGCAACAUGUAUGUCGUGGUCUGAAUCAAGUUGGCUUUGAGCGUUUAACUUACUCUGAAGACUUCUAUUUUCACCACAAUCAUCCUUGUAUUCAAUGACUUAUAACAUUAGCAGAGACUUUACCCCUUAUUUUGAAGUGAAGAGGAAAGCUCCCAGGUGACUAAGAGAGCCGUGGGAGAUGGGUUGAAGACUUUAAACAGAAUGGUUUUUGGAUGUUAUUAUAACAUAUGCAUUACUAUCACAAAUAACUUCUUGUGAAGGAAACAAGAUUUGAUUGUAAACAAUGGGGAUUUUUCGUUGAUGUAUUUAUUUAGAUUGUUCAGUGUACAAAGAAUGUGCGGUUGCAAAUUAAUAAUUUAGAGUUGUUAAGUCCUCUGUGAAAAAGAAAAACUUCAAUUUCUUUCGUAAAGAAAAAGUUCAAUUUCGUUAUUGCGAAGAAUGGAGUGUACGAAACGAAAGAACUGAAUAUUCGGAUGCUAAAUAUAUAAUGGGAUCAAUUUAAAAUAUUAUCAAGCAAUUGGUUUAAAAUAAUAUAAUGAAUGAAUUUCAUAAAAACAUUCGCUAUCAAAAAUGAAGAAAAGUAACUUUUUUUUCUUUUCAUUUUAAUGAUUCUUUAAGAAACAGGGAAAGAAACUUUUGAAAAUAAUCCAAUAAAUAGAACAUACCACACAAUCUAUUCAAAUUUGAGAAGACGGAACUAGCCACGCAAAUUUUGGUUAACUCAAAAGUUUGAAGAGACCAAGAGUGAAAGAGGGGCUGCCAAGGGCAGUAGCCCUGCUGCCUUGUGCAGUAGUGUGUGUGAGAGCUCGAAGUUAAGUUUGAGCGAAGUGAUUCUUUUUUUUUAUAUAUUUAUUUUGUAUUUUUUUUCUAUUUCUAAUAAUAUGAACUUUUUCUAUGGAUGUAGGCGGUUUGUUGAACCACAUUAAAUAUUAUAUCAGUGUGCUAAGUCUCCAAUGGGCAACUAUCAGUACAUCACCGACAGAUUCCCCAACAUAAACAACACAUAAGAACCUUGCACAACUCAAAUCAUUUAGCAAUAAAAUGCAUGACUGUCACAGCAGCAGAAUAUGAACUUGGAAAAACCGACUGACGCAUCUCAAACUACUAAACAUGACUUAAAUGUAAUGCUAAUGGAGGAAAGCUGCCAAGAUAUCUAUAAUUAGUCGCUAAGAAUUUAAUGACAGAACACCAUCUGAAUACCAAUGGUUGCCCACUGCAUCAACUUGCUCAGUUGGGGCCGUAUCAGAGCUGUGUUGGGUUUUUUUUGUAGUGCUUGAGUUAGAUUUCAUUUGCGUGCGUUUUGGGUGAUAGGUUUGAUUAUAGGAUUUUUUGGACUAUAAAGUUGGAAGCAGAUUACGUUUGAAGUUGUUAAUGUAAUUCAACUUCCAUUUUGAACAUUGCCGAUCCGUUGUAAAUCCACCAGACUGCUCUUUUUUCGCUUCCUAAAACAUUUGCUCCAUCAAAGCCAGCAAAGCAGAAAUCAAUGCAAUUGUUACUACUGACAAACCUCAUGUUUCGCAUUGACAAAAAUUGACUCUGCAACCAUAACUACGAGAUCUAUGGUAGCACAGAAUUCAAAUCUAUUUAUAGCAGCUUAACACCAGUAUAAGACACUUGGAUGCAAAUUGUAGGAUAAAGGCAGAGAAUAGGUGGCCAGAAAAUUCUCAGUUGACUUUUAUAGUGACAGAACACCAAUUAAUGUUACCAGAGUAUGCUAAGCGUAUUUCAGAAAACAGAGGACAAAAUGCAUCAAAGUGCUGAUGAUGUUUCCUGUAAAUUUUCCUACACAUCCUUCAAUCUAUGUUUGAGGAUUCAUCAUGCCAUAACAACUAUGAUUUUUAGCAAUCUAAGUUUUUAGUUUUUAUCUCAAAUGUUCUAUAUCAUUUUUAAUAAAAAUAUAUAUUUUUAGUUUUCGAUUUUAUCAAAAAUGAGUAACAGGUUUUCAUUUUAUAAAAAAUGUUUUCAAAAGAAAAUAUUGCUAUAAUUUGUCAAAAAACUAAAUUGGAAUAUUAACAAAAACUUAAAUGAGCAAAAUUUUUUAUUUUUUUACUAAAGUAUAUUAUUAUUAUUAUUAGUAGUAGUGCUACUACUAUAACUUUUCUUUUUAAAUGUGUAAAAGGUUAUAGUUUUGUUAAUGCAUGGGUUUUGUUUUCUUCAUGAAUAAAGAGUUUUAUUUUUUAUUAUUUUUCUAUUCAAUUAUCAUAGGAAACAAAAGGUUUUAGAGUCGAUGGAACCAUAAAGGCAGCUGCUACUGAGGUCAAGGCCGAUCACAUGACCAGAGUCUCCGUCACAUUCAACACCAUCCCAUGAGCAGCAAUCACCACUUUCUCCAUCAACUUUCCAUGAUGCAACCUUCGGAUAAGCAGAAGGAUCAGAAGAAGCGGACUCAUUAAUGACAAGGCUUUCCUUGAGCUGCAACAAGGCAUGACUCUCGUCAUCAUGGCAUAGAGGCUGCCUGGAAGGAGAAGAAUAACAAGCUCUAAGAUGGAACAAAGACAGCAAAAAGAGCAAAAGCAUCCGCAUGGUUAAGAAACACACAGGUGAUGCCAUGUUUUUUUAGUAAAGAAACUCUUAUCUUUUUUAAUAAACAAAUAAGAGAAAUAAAGCAGUUUAUAUAGACAAAAAUAUUCAGUCUGGUAGAAAAGUAAACAAAGUAUUGUAUUUUUCAUUGAUUUGAUUGAAAACAAUGGAGAUUUUUCACUAAUUAUUUCUAUUGGAUCGAGCCAUCAAUAGAUUAUAUAUAUUAAGUAGCUAUUAAUUUUUCCUCUAUUUUAUGGCAUAACCGUUUGACUUUAACAAAUUAACGAAUAAAGGGAUUUUUAAGGAAAAAUUAUCUCCUCGAUGAUAUAAAAAAUAAUAAGAAUAAAAGUGUUUUUAAUAAAAAUUAAAAGGAAAGCUCUCAAAAUAUUAUUUUUUUCAAUAAAAAUACAAAAGUAAAAGGCUUUUAGUUUUCAUUUCAAAUACUUUUAUAUCAUUUUUGCUAAAAAUAAUUUUUUUAUUUUUUUUUAGUUUUGAAGUUUCUCAAAACAAUGUUUAACAAAAAUUAAUGAGUAAUAUAGGCUUUCAUUUUUAUCAAAAACUAUAUGUCCUUUUUAUUGAAAAUAUUUUUAAAAGUUUUCAAAAACAGAUAAAUGAAAAUAUUAACAAAAACUUAAAAGGGUAAAAGGUUUUUGAUUUUUCUCUUAAAUUAGUACUAUAUAUUAUUAUCGAUACUCUUAUCAAAAGUAUUUUACCGUAAGUUUGUCUUUUUAAUGAGUAAAAGUAAUUUUGGGUGCUGCUACUGAAAUAGCCUUUCCGGCUAUAUUUUCUGCUACCACCCAUUUCAUAAAUCAUUCUACCUGGUUUAAGAAUAGUGCACAUGAAUAGUCUCCGUCUCCAAAGACCAUCUGUCAAUUUCUUUCAAAGUCUAAGUCUUCGUCUUGUUCCAAUAUUCCACUGCGAUUGCCAAAGUUAAUUGGCCAAAUCUGAAGAGUCUAUCACCACCACAACCAUCUUAUCACUUUAAUAAUUCUUUAAGCAAGUGGAUGAGAAGUUUCUUUCUUAUCACUUUAAUAAUUCUUUAAGCAAGUGGUCGAGAAGUUUCCUUCUUGACAUGGUUUCCUUCGUGUUCUCGCUUUUCUUUGGCUGAAUAAUCAAUUAAAGGAAGGGGAUAUACAACACAUAAGAGCACUGCAAUAAAAUACAUGAUUGUCACUGCAGCAGAAUAUAAACUUGGAAAAACCAACUGACAAAUAUAUAGCAAUUCAAACUGCUAAAUAUGACUUAAAUAUGACUAAAAGCCGAGAAUAGGUGGCCAGAAAAUUCUCAGUUGAAUUUUAUAGUGCCAGAACACCAAUUAAUGUGACCAGAGUAUGCUAAGCGUAUUUCAGAAAACAGAGGAUAAAAUGCAUCAAAGUGUAGAGGAUGUUUCGUGUAAAUUUGCCUACACAUCCUUCAAUCUAUGUUUGAGGAUUCAUCAUGCCAUAACAACUAUGAUUUUUAGCAAUCUAGGUUUUUCGUUUUUAUCUCAAAUGUUCUAUAUCAUUUUUAAUAAAAAUAUGUAUUUUUAGUUUUCAAUUUUAUCAAAAUAAUUUUGAAAAAUGAGUAAUAGGUUUUCAUUUUAUAAAAAAUGUUUUCAAUGGAAAAUAUUUCUAUAAUUUGUAAAAGAAUUAAAUCAAAAUAUUAAUAAAAACUUAAAUGAGCAAAAGUUUUUAUUUUUUUAAUAAAAUAUUAUUAUUAUUAUUUUCAUUACCACCACCACCACCACUAUUAUAUUAUAUAAUCAAAAUAUUUACUGCAAAUGCCAUAUUCACCGACAGAUAUAGUCCUUCGACAGUUCACUGAGAGUUGAAAAAUAUUUACUUCAUAUGCCACUAUUACCGACAUAAUAUUUCCGUCAGUAUAUUUCAAGCAGAAAUAAUUUUUUGGUGCACAUUUUUUGUCAGUAAAACCAUCGGUAUUUUUUUUUUUUACCGACAAAAAUAGUAACAUAAUGUGGAAUUACUGAUGAAAGCUAAGUCAAUGGACUCAUUCCGUCGGGGAUUUAGUCGGUAAAAUAUUUCCCAACAAAGUGGUAAUCUCAUACCUUGGUCUCUCAGUAAAACUAUUAAAUGUUGUAGUGUAUUCCAAUGUUGUAAUUCCUGCGAGAGGAAAGGCUGGCUAAGGCACAACCUAAUCUUAUUGUUAUCAUGUAGGGUAUUUAAUGUUGAAUUAGAUUUUAUUAUUUGUAAAUGAUUUUAUAUCAUGUAUUUAGAAAUAAAAAUACAUCAAGUGCCUAACGUACGUAAAAAACCAUUUAAUACUUGAUAUGGUAAUACUAUAGGGCAAAUGAUUUUAGCAAGUACACAGCAAGAAGUGGAUGCGAAAGUAGAGCAAACGAUUUGGAAACUUAAAUGCAUACCGAGCAUCGUUCCUCGGCACAAGAACAGGGUUACACUACAAAGCUUAUUUCGAAGAAGGGCUAACCUGAUUUAUCAACAUUGCAAUCUUCCUCUGCCUCGCCGACCAUCUCCCAGUAACAACGUUAUAAAAAUCGCAGUGCAUUGUACUAAUAACUUGUUAGACAAAGAAUUCAGGUAGACGAUUAUGCAUGUAUAAAUAUCAUUUAGCACGUCAUAUUCAUUGGAAAAAGAAAAAGAAAAAAAAACGGGGAGUUGUCGUUUUGGAGGAAAAGCACAAAAGCUCAAUGGGCUCGUUGGCUUUAUUGGGCUCUCCUUCUCAGCAGGGCUUACUUUGCUGAUGUUUAUUGGGCAUGGUUUUGAGACGGGCCCUCUUUUUUUCUUCUUUCUUUGCUGCCCGGUUGGGCUUUCUUUUAGUCCUACUUGGGCUUGAUUUUGUAGCCCUCUCACUAGAUCUUAAAUAUUUUUAAACGAAAACUGAAGCAAUUAAAAUUAAAAUUAAGAAAAGGUGGAACCCAGUAAAUCUGCUUGGAAAUCUAACUAGUUGUGUGAUAAAAUAACCCUGCUUUAACCAAAAUUCGACACUUUCCUUAUGCAUUAGGGACCUAAUUGAAACAUUGAUAGCUUGGGAUCUAGAUCAAAAAUCAGUUCAUAGUCGGUUACUAAAUUGAGAUUUUCUAUGAAAAUAUAAAGGGGAUAAAACAUGUCUUGGAAAUGUAGUUAUAAUUGUUAUUCAAAGUGUUAUUUACUUAAAAAUAUAUUAAAAUAAUAUUUGCUAUGUUUUCAUGCUGAGUGGAGGAGUAGUCUCAUGGUCAUCAAAAAAGCAACCUAUAGUCACUCUGUCAAUAAUUGAAGCAGAAUUCAUGGCAGCAACAGCUUGUGUUUGUGAGGCAGUAUGGAUUAGAAGGAUUCUAAAGAAGUUAAACCAUGAACAAAAAGGUUGCACCAUCUUAAUGUGUGAUAACAGUUGAACCAUCAAGCUCUCAAGAAAUUCCAUUAUACAUGGACGUAGCAAACACAUUCAUGUGAGAUUCCAUUUCUUACGUGAUUUAACUCGAGACAAAGUCAUUGAACUUGUGCAUUAUGACUCACAAGAUCAAGUAGAUGACCUGCUGACAAAGCUGGUUAAAUUGCAAACAUUUAAAAACCUUCGAGAACAAAUGGGAGUUUGUGAGAUGCCUAAUGUAAACUAAUUGUUACACAGAAUUAGUUUAAAGGAGAGAAUGUUGAGAAGUAGUCAAUAAUUGUCAGCAUUAUUGUUAGCAAGUUUGUUAAAGUUGUUAGUUAGUUAAUCUAGCUGGCAGUUAGUUAAGUCAGGUAAGUUUGUUAGUGUUCAAUCCUUAGCUAACAAUAACUGAUUCCUUGAAUCACGGGGACAACAGUUAUUAGUUACCCUGCAACAUUGUAAAGGCUAUAUAAUGCCAAACAAUUAUUCAUUCAAGAUAUGCUAUACAAUUCAUUAUUCAUCAAAGUGUUCUUGCAUAUCAAUUCUAUCAUAUUAUGCAUUGCUAUAAUUUGGUUGAGCUACUCCUUUAUUCAUUCAAGAUAUGCUAUACAAUUCAUUAUUCAUCAAAGUGUUCUUGCAUAUCAGUUCUAUCAUAUUAUGUUGUUGCGAUGUCGCGGUCGCACAAAUUAAUUACCCUAGCUUCAAACACAACACAUAAGAUAGUAUAGAGCAAGCAAGGGGUCGAUCCCACGAGGAAGGUUCAAGUCAUAUUUUUAUGCUAGAUGAUAUGCAAUUUGGGGGGGGGGGGUGGACGUUAUCUAGGCUAAAGCAAAAGAAAACAGAAACUAUCAAACGAAAUUUAAUAAAAUCAGAAAAUUAUCAAGAGAACAAACCUUGGUCGCAAUCACACAUUCACCUAUAAAAAUCAGAACUGAUCCUUGAAACGAAACUCCAGUUUAUAUUUUGAAUUUUUAUCUUUUCUUAAUGUUGGUUAAUUAACGGAUCCAUCGUAUAACUAACCCUAACCAACAAAUAAUCACAGUGUCCACACUAAUGAUUUAAUCCAGUGGCAGCCUUAAGAUCUAGAUAAAUUCAUUAAUCUUAACAACCAAGUUGUCUGCUUAUGUUGCUUUGAUUGAAUGUUCUCCCUAAGUUUAAUAACGUAGAUCCGCUACAAUUAUUAAACUCAGUUGCUUCACAAGUUCAUAUACCACAACUCCGGUUUUGAUAUCAAACUUAGCACAAUAGAGUCCGCUCUAGCAAUUAAAAUAAACAAUCAUAGGAAAAAUAAGCAUAGGAGAAAAACAUAUCAUUCAUAUAAACUGAAAAGAAAAGGUAAAAUAAUCUCACAGUUCUUGAAAUCCGAAGGUUUCCGUGUCCUUGCAACCAAGAAAAUGAGUUUAGCCUUGCAUGUUUGUUGAACAACUAAUCAAAAAGAUGGAAGAAUGCAUGAUUUAGGGUUUCUUAGAGGAGGGGGGCGUUUUUCUCUUGUUGGCUGGCUGCCCCCCUUCUCUUCUCUCAUUCUUUUUAUAUGCUAGGAAACCCUAAUCUCUAUUUUACAAAACAGUCCUCCCUUAAGUAGACAAUUUACAUUUAAGUAGUUCAAUAACUAUUUUCCUAAAAAAGGAGAAUUAACUUUGCAUGAAAUCUUCAAGCUUUGACUUAGAGGAGCUAAAUUGCUGAAAUAUAAACUUGGAUGUCGGUUUAGAUGCUUCGAAACGUAAUUUGGACUCAUUUCUUCACGAAACCUGUUUGCUGGCAAAAUUCAGUUUUCAUCUUUGAAAAAUCAUAUCUCCCUCAUAUGACAUCGUUUUUGGCUGAAAUGUGGAGUGUUUAUAGGCCUUUGAAUCAGGAAUCCAAAACAAUUGAGUUUGAAUCAAUUGGACUUUUGUAGCUCUAGAUAUUCAAGUCAGAAUGACCGAAGGUCAACACUGGCAGAUUGCGAGAUUUGACUUUGAAAGCUGCGAUUUCCAUGCUCUUCCUUAUUUUAUUGCCUUGCCUUAGAUGUCCAGAAAGGUAUAGAUGUUAGCUUUGUAAUGUCACUGGAAUCACUUCAUUUUGACCUUAGAGCUCACGCUCUGCACAAAACAUCGAUUGAACAUCAAAUCUGCCAAUUACCUUCAAUUUACUCCUUUUUGCAUCAUCCAAAAGUGCUUUUAAAACAUAGAACAGAGAAUAUCAAGGCAUUUUAUAUAUAAAACAUAGGCAAAACACUAGUUAAAUAUGGGUGAAACUAUCGAAUAAUAUGGUUGCAUCAUAUGCAUUGCUAUAAUUUGGUUGAGCUACUCUAGUCAGUUGAGCUACACUGUAUCAUAAUUUUUGAUCUCAUCACAUAUAAUUUGGUUGAGCUUGAGCUUGUUUACAUCUGUACAAGCUUAUUGUCUUGAUGAAAUUGAGGAUGGAGGUAGAGUUCUUACAUAACUCAAACUAAGAACUGGUUCAUGUUUCCUGCUUGGCAAUGUUCUUUCAUAUGUCAAUUACAUGUCACAUCAUAUUUGUAAGCAAUAUUUCUGAGGAUGAAUUACAUCCUAGUACUCUAUUGCUUGUUAGAAAUGUGAAUACUGGAAGUUAGUAGGUGGGGAAAAAUUCAAAGAUAAAUUUGUUUGACCAGAUUUAACAUGUAAUCUUCCAACUUUGAUGAAGCAAAUGUGCAUGGUGCGCAUCUUUGAAGGUGCCCUGUGAUGUCCUACAACUGGAUUCCAAAUACAUCUGCUUUUGUUUAGCUGGAAGAAGCCAUAAUGCUGAAGUUUAGAUUGUUCAGGAUCGAGCAUGGUGCUCAAGAUUGUGCUGACCUUGUUAAAUGUUUAUGUUGAUAUAUGAAAUUGAAAAGUAAAGAGCCGAGCUAUCCUCUGUUCUUGAGUACCUUGACACUUAGACACCAUAUGGUAUCAAUUCCAUUCAUCCCAUCAAAUACAGAUUGAACAUGCAAUGAUUAACUGCUACUAUCUUGCAUGAUAUCUUGAAAAUACCAUCAUGCAUUGUGCCCAACAUAGGUCAUCAUCACAUAUCUAAGAAAGAACCCUAAAUUACAAUGCCCUUUUUUAUUUGCUUCAAUGUAGUGGAAAUUCAAUAGUGCAUAAUCAAAUUCAAGGAGGUCUUCUUAAUGGUCCUUUCAGCAACGUAGUAUUGUCCCAGGGGAAAUAACUAAUAAAAAAUUAAGUUUUAUCCAACAAUCAGAUAUUUUGUUAUUAUAGUUUUAAGAAGCUAAUAAAUCUUGAUUGUUCUAUAUCUUUUCUUACAUCUAAACAUAUUCUACUAGCCCAUAAAUAGAUCUUUUCCAGUUUUUGAAUGGGCAAGGAUAGAACUGUAUUUUUUUUAUCACUAUGGUGGUUUUGAUUAGUUAGGUUGACAGGGUCAAAGGAUUUUAAUUUAUUUUUCAAAAUUUAUUUUAUGUGGGGCAGUAGAUGUUUUUGGUGGAUAGGUUGAUGGGGUUUUAAAUCUUAAAAUCAUCCUCCUAAUUAGGUCACUCUAGGUCCAUGCAUCUAUAAUUUCUAACAUUUCAUAGAAUAACCUCGAUUAUUAAAAAAAUAUAUCUUUAAAUAAAUUUUCAAACAUUACUAUCACAAAUAAUUCAUUGUGAAGAAAACCAAAUUUGAUUGAAUACAAUGGGGAUUUUUCAUUGAUGUAUCAAUUAAUUUUUUUCAGUGUGCAAAGAAUGUAAAUAAUUUUUUUUAAAGAAAAAAGAACGCAAAAUUACUAUUAUUAUUAUUCCUGGUACUGGAAAAGUAAUUAAUUUUCCCACCUCCAAGUCUCCGUCUUCAAUGGCCUUUUGCACUACUUUCAAUUUCAUUCAAAGUCUAACCAAGCAAGAUGUUAUUAUUAUUAUUCCUGAUACUGGAAAAGUAAGUCUUUGUCUUGUUUUAUUAAAUUCCACCGCAAUCAUCUUAUCAUUCUAAUGGCAGAGAUAGUGACUAAGAGAGCCGUGGGAAAUGGGUUGAAGACUUUAAACAGAUCAUGGUUUUUAGAUGUUAUUAUAUUUUUUUGAGAAGUAUAAUAUUCCAUUAGAAGACGCCACGAGCUGGCGGGAACAUAGUAAUUCUGCUUACAUCUCACCUAUAGCAGGUCUAUGUAAUGAAAUGAUCAACAAACCAAAGAGACCAAAAUAUACAAAUAGCAGCUAAAAGAUGCAAGUUUGAUGCCAAAAAUAGCAACAUAGCAGCUAUAAGAUGCAGAUUUGGAGCCACACCAGGAUGUGAUGCCAAGUAAACUUCCACCUAGAUCCACAUUUAAAGUAAACAAAAAUCUUUCCAUCUUUCCUCUUGUUAACCGAAAACAAAAACCAGCCAUGGCCUCUCCAGAGAUCAGCCUUUGACACCUUAACAACAAGAGGAGCAUGAUCACGCGCCACACUAACACAGAGAAACCAGAGUAGGCAAAAACAAGCUCAUCAAAAGAAAACCCUUAGACCUGCAACAUCAGAUUCUGCUACCAAGAAGUUUCACACAAGUCCAGUAGCGGAGCUAGAACUUUUUAAAUAAGAGGGCAAAUUACUAAUUAUACAUACAUGUGUUAUAUAUAAAAAAUAAUUUAAAAUAUAUAUAUGUAUACACACACACAUAUAAACUCAAGUCAAGUAAAUUAAUUUAAGAAUACUUUUAAAAUGAAAAAACUUACAUCUCUUCAAGAUUUUAUAUUUUAAAACUGCUUUAUAAUAAUUUUAUUUUUAAUCUCAUUAAAAAUAUUUUUCUCAAUAUUAUUAUAAACCCUACAUUUUCAAUAACUAAUUAUAAAAAAAAUAAAACUAAAAUUAGAUAAUAAAACAAAUAGAAAAGAUGAAAAAAACUUUUUUAAAGCAUAAAGCAUAAGAGAUUAAUUGCUUAACUAAUUAAUAGCUUAGGGCCUGAAAAGAAAUUUUAUAGAAGAAAACGAGUCGAGAUUAUUAAUGAAAAAAAUAAAUAAAGAACCUGGUUCAAUUAGUAGCUAAAAAAAAAUUUAACUCAAUAAAAAUAUUAUAUUAAUAUUUUAAUAUAAUAAACUAGUUAUAAAUAACUAUGCUUGGGCUUAUGUGAUUCCAGCUGUUAUUCUUAAAAUUCUACUUUAUUUAAUGAAAGUUUUUGUUUGGACAACCCUUAUUAUGUUAUUGGUUACAGCCCUUUGAAAAGUGAACAUAAAAUUCAGAGUAAAAAUUGUCAGCAAAUAAAAUGUAGAAUAACAACUACAAGAAAGACGAACUGCACAUCAAACUUGUACUAAAGCCUGCAAAGUUGAAUUUCAAUAUGCUGCAAAAGUUGUACCAGGAGGAGCAGAGAAUUACAUUUAUGCAUUGGGGGAGGGGGCAAUUGUCCCCUCUUGCCCCUGCAUGGCUCCGCCACUGCAUAAGUCAAUGAUCUGACAACAUCAGAAUCGCCUCGGAAUAUCUUGAUGAUUCAACUCCUUUAUGGGAAACAAUCUAGUUUCCUAAGAGCCGCAACUAGAAUUUAAAGAAAAUAAAAAACCCCAUAUAUAAGUAGAUUAGAGCCAAGCAACCAAUUCAAUGUUUGCUGAAAAGAUUGGGUGGAGAAUACAGAAACAUUAGAUGUUAUUAUAUAAGCAAAAGGAGAGAAUGCUGGAGUUUGCUGAAAAGAUUGGGUGGAGAAUACAGAAACAUGAUGAUAUGGCUCUUAAUCAGUUGGUGUCAAAAGAAACGUGCUUAAGGCUUGGAUGCAUAAUAACAAGAAUGCCCACCGCCGUAGAGAUGGUGCUCCCCUGGUGUCUGCCAAGGCCCAUCCUCCUCCUCCACCUGUUGGAGUCUAGUAAUAAUUGAUAAUUAAUCUAGUAAUUAUUAUUGUUCCACUAGAUCUGAUCUUCUAUUUCUUUCUUAGACAAGCAUUACUAAACAUUGAUAAAAGAUGAUAUCUCUUACAUAAGCAUUAAUGAUUAUUAAUAUAAAAAUUUCUUAUACAAGAAUUAAUAGAUAUUAAUGAGAGAUGAUAUCUCUUACACAAUUAUUAAUUAAAAAAAAACUUAAGACAUGUUUUUGGGCAUAUAAAAAAAAGAUCAAGACCUAACAAGCCACACUCUUUAGAGAUGAGCUUCGGUGGUGCAUCUAAGGCCUCAUUUGAGCCCAUCCUAAGGUGCUUGGCAGAUCCCUAACACCUAGGCUCUGGUGGGUGGCGUCUAAGCCCCCUAAGGAAGAUUUUGGGCAGACGCUCAACACCUAGGAUUGGAUUGCCUUCCGAGACAACUAGAUGGUGCUUUAUGGACGCUAGAACCCGAGCAUAUUAGCUUGAGCCCACCUCGAUACCUGGGUUCUAUUGUUCUACCAAGCCCAUCAAAGAUGUAUGGAAAUGGGCUAAGAAUUGGGCCAUGACUAUUAUGUGUUUUGUGAUAAAAAUAAUAUAUCUUGAGACAUAACUUUUUCCUAUAGACUAAAAGGUUUGAAUUCUAAAUAAUAUAUAUAUAUAUAUAUAUAUAUAUAUAUAUAAACAAGCAGUGUACAUGAAUAGUCUUAUCUGCAAAGACUUUAUGCUCGACAACCAAUUUCAUUUAAAUUUUGAGUCGUUGUCUUCAUAGGCGGAGUUAGGAAUUUUUCUUGCAUUGAGCUAUUAAAUAAAUAUAUAAAUUUUUGUUAAGAUCAAUUAUUACCUUAUGUAUAUGAAUUUUUUAAAUUAACAAUAAAGUUUUAAUUCAAAUACACUAUCUAAAAUAUUAAAAAUUAAAUUUGAAAAAACAUAAAAUUGAAGUGAAAGUAAAAAUAAACUCACUAUCAAAGUUACAUCCUUCGAUAUUUUAUGAAAUAUAAUUCAUCUAUAAUCGAAUCUGAAUCGAUAUUAUAACAACCUCUCAACCGGAAUAAAAUAACAAUCUCUUGUCAACUGGAAAACAAAGUAAUUAAAUUUUUUUUCUCUCUUUCAAUUUCUCCUUCCUUCACUUGAUUCUUCCUUAGAUUAGUGCUUUAUAAGUUGGACUUUAUAAAUUUACAAGGUUAUUCUCUCACUUUUUUUAAUUUUUUUUCCUUGGAUUUUUUUUUUGUUUUCCCCUUACUUUUCUCUCUAGCUUUUUUUUUCUUUUCCUAUUAUGCUUCUACCUAGUUGGCAACAUAUAAAAGGAAGAAAGAGUAGAUUUGUUCUAUUUUUUAAUGGCAAAUAACCAUUUUACCCUUAAUGAGUCGUUUUGUUUUUAUUUGAUGGUCUUUAUUUUUGUUAGCGCUACCAAACCCCAUUCAUCCUAAAAUUUUAACCAAAUUUUAUUCAAUAUAUUUUAAGAUCCCUCAUAAAAUUUAAGCUCAAUCUGAUGGUCAUAUUGAAAAUUACGUCCAAUAACGUAAAACUAGUUAAAUUGUGAUUUUUCAUCAAAUUUCUGAAUUUCUCCAAAAAUUAUGAAAUUUUAACCCAAGCUAAAAUAUUAUAUUAUAAGGUUCCCCAUAAAUUUUUAGAAUUUUUUAAUAUCUCAGUUGAUAAUUAUAAAUUUUUUUUUAUAUAAAACUAGUAAAAAAUUAUUAAUAAAAUCUUAACUUGAGAGCUCUAUCCAAAUCUUUAAUAUGCCUCCAGCCCUGGUUGUACUGCUAUCAAAUGGUGCAUUUUGUGCACCUUGAUAAGCUCAGGCUGCCGUAUACUAUCGAUCUCCAAAGAUCAAAACAUACAUGGUUUGACAAGGUCCUAGCAUGAUAAGUGAGAUGGUAAAAGGCUUGAGAUAGAAGGCAUCAUCACCAACAAUUGUGAACAUAUGGUUGGCUAUACAUGGCGAAGAAAAGUAACUGAGUGGCUGCAACAUUUUAGCCCAUCACAAUGAUAGCUAAAACUAAUUUCUUCUGUUGAGAAUAAAUUAAUAAAACUAAACUCUCUAUUCAACAUACCAUCUUAUUUUUAGUAUAUGAAAUUAAAAGACCAUCCAAAAAAAAAAUCACCCUUAUCCUUACAAGUGAAAAUUAAGAAACAGAAGACAAGGAAAAGAAAAUACAAUCUUAACAUGAUUGACAAGCUAGAAAACACCUUAAUAAUUAGAAAUCAAUUUCUACGCAGGCGAGUCUUCAAAUUUUGACCAUUGUAUUGCCACCUCGCAAAAUAAUUCUUCACCAACCAUUCAUACUUCCUUGUGUUCAUAGCGCAUCCAAGAAUCACUCCAAUUACCAAUCCACUUGCAUAACCUAUCACCACCACCUUCCAACCAAAUUCAAGUGGAUAUCCCGAGCCCUCAUCUUCUUUUGCUGCCGGCAGCGACUCCUCCCCAUUUCCACAUUCUUUUGACAACGGCUCCCCACACAAUCCUGGAUUCGCAUCAAAUGAAGUGCUGUCAAAUGUGCCGAAUUGGUUUCCUCGUGGUAUCGGACCUGAGAGAAGAUUGUGAGACACAUUAAAGACCUCGAGGAAGGUGAGCUGUGCAAGUUGGACAGGAAUCUCUCCCGAGAGUUUGUUCUGAGAAAGGUCCAAAGAUUCAAUCUCUUUCAAGUUGGACAAGGAUGAAGGGAUGCCACCCCUGAGAAAGUUGUUGGAGAGAUUGAGCAAAUGAAGUGCUUUGAGAUCUCCGAGGACCUCUGGGAUUCCUCCUUCAAAACCAUUACUUGAGAAAUCAAUAGCAGUAAGACUAUCUUGGAUCUUCUCAUAUAAGAUCAUCACACCUUUGUUUGUCAUUGUCAUCGAGUACUCAUACCAGUUUUCCAUUACAUGAUGCGAUGUUUGAAAACUUAUGUUUGCUUGCAUGUAAAUCAAGUGCUCAUUAUGGACAUUUUGCAUGGCAGUCCAAUUUCGGAAAUAUUCAAGUGGCAACUUACCCUUAAAACUGUUGUUGGAGAGGUCAACAAUCUGUAACCUCGGAAAUUCAACGUUGGUGUCAGGUUUCCCAAUCAUACCAUGUAGCGCAUUAGAUCUCAAAAUCAUAACCCUCAAAUCAGGAAGAACACCCAACCAAGAAGGAAAGACACAAUUUAUCUUAUUUUGUUCAAGAUUGAGAAUCUCUAGCUUGGUGCAAUUGGCUAAUGAUUUUGGUAUCUUCCCCUCCAGUUUGUUUUGACCGAAAUCAACGAUCCUCAAUGAGCAGCCACUUGUGAAGGUGUCGGGAAUCUCACCCCUGAAACUAUUGUUGCGCAGAUUCAGAACUGAAGCAGUGCUGCUUUUAAUGCCCAAGCACGGCGGAAGUUUGCCACUCAAAUUGUUAUUUGACAAAACAAGGACAGAAAGCGAAGUCAGAUUGCAAAUAACUUCUGGGAUUUCUCCAUUUAAUUUGUUGUUCGAGACGUUAUAUUCAGAGAUUGCUGGUGGUGGAAUUGGGAGGGAUCCUUGGAACUUGUUUGAACUAAGAUCCAGUGAGCGUAGAUUAUUCCAUGGAAGAACGUCGAAGGAUUAGUGAUCCAACUAAGCUUUGCUGGAGAGGAAUUCCACUUCAAUUUCUUUAUCUCAUGUGCAGUGGAAGAGGUGGGAUGCUUUGUUCGUGCCUGAAGAAAUUAUCAGGAUCAACUUUGGUCUUCACAUGCACCAACCUGUAGAAGUUAUCCUUGAAGUACUUGGUACCAAAAACACUCGCUUCAACAAAACUUGUGUUAGAAUUGGUGUUCAUGCCCAAAUCAAUAUCCCUGUAAUUCACAUAUGCUUCCCUUGGGUUCUUCGAGACAUAAGGUUCCAUGUAAUUGUAAACCAUCCUAGUCCAAUCUAUAUGCUUUGCAACGUUUUCGUUUGCAUCUUGCCAACCGGUAUAGUACAGAAUCAUGAACUUGGUACCAUUUCUAUGAGGGAAAGGAGUCUGAGAUUCUGAAAUUUGGCUCAUCAUUCCACCAUAAGGAGUGAACACUACUAGAGGACUCUCUGCUUCAAAUAACUUCUCCCAUAACCCUUCAAGUCCUGCACAGCACCGUGAACAAGCGAAGUUUUGGCCAGCCACCACACCUUCGUCAUCGUUCAGACCAGAAGUGGAGGGGAAGUUUUGGCCAGCCACCACCUUCGUCAUCGUCCAGACCAGAUCUGUCACUGUCUUCGGCCGAUCUCUCAUUCUUCUACCGUUGGAUCAACUUGAUUUUUGGGUAUGUUAUGUGUCUCCAUAGUUCCUACAUCCAGACCGGAGGGAUCGUUCAUAUCUGCUGCCGUUUAAGAAAUCUAAUUGUUUGAAGAUUUCUGGACAAACCACUCUCGGAACAGUAAGCUCCGCUGCCUUUUUCUCACUUUUCUACCGUUGGAUCAAUCUGAAUUUUGAUAUGUUAUGCUUAUGGUUGUAUUAAACAUUCUGAACGGUGGAGAUGAGAUGAAACCUUUCCAGCAAAGUGUUAUGAAUGUCUAAAUGGUGGCUCGUCAAUCUCAGGUCAGUUUUGUUCUAACUCCGAUCUAGGAGAUCCAACCGUUAACUUGAGCUGAUAUUUGGAUAUAUGCUGCAUAAGAUGUGUGUUUAUCUUUGUACCGUUGGGAUUUGAUAUUGAUUGAAUUGUUAGUCAGUAAUUGAUGUUUGAAGCUCUGUCCGGAAUCUGUCAUGACUUUCAAACCGAAACCCAAAACACCCAAAGUAACAUCACCCCUCAACCACUAAACAUCCCACAAACCAACACCAAAACACCCAAAACACAGCCUCCCAUCGCAGGUUUGAUUUCCAAAAUCCCACAAACCAACAAACAAUCAAAAAUCCCUUUCCAACAACCAUCUCUGCCCAAAACAGCAACCACCUCUAAACACAAUUGCAGUUUCCUAGCCAAAGAACAACGAUACAAUAACAAGAUCUCCCAAAAUGCUCCCAACCAAAAAGCCUUCGCUCACCCCUGCAAACCAGACCGUAGCAACGUUACUCAAACCUCACCUGAAUAAUACAGCCUCUCAAACACCUUCAAACACAACCUUCCCUGUUACACUAAGCCUACCGAGACCUGUGCACCACACAAUAAACGUCCAGAACGUUAAUAAGCCUUCUUCUAACACAACCUUCCCGACCUUUACCCCUUCUAAGUUCUUUAUUGAACGUUUCCCAUCAUGGUUAGAUUAUCAUGACCUCAAAAAGACGCUUGCAAAGAUUGGUCCUGUUACCAAUCUUUUUGUCUCCAGGAAAAAAACAUCACGAGGGAGACGGUUUGGGUUUGUUUCCUUCCUCUCCACCUUAAAAGAAUCAGACAUUUGUAACAGCUUGAACCUUAUCUGGUUCGAUUCAUACAAAAUUCGUGCAAACCCGGUCAGAUUUCAGAAACCUCUAGACAAAAAACCAGACCUUGUUAUAAAACCACAACCAAAAACCAUGCCCAAACUCACCUUCAGAGACACCCGGACCUUCGUUGAAGCUCUUUCUGUCACAAAGCAUCCAAAGAAAACGGUGAUGUAUGAGUCUAUCCCCGAUGACAAGGAAUGGCUUCAGAGAAGUUUAGUGGGAUUCAUAGCCACAGACGUGGACUAUGCUCAGCUUGAGCAUAUGGUGCUAAAAAAUGUCAAGCAGACAGUUGGGUUUCGUUUUUUGGGAGCAAGCCAAGCAGUCAUCACCUUUACAAAUAGAGAAUCUAUGGAGAGAGCUGGUAAAUGGAUCCUCUGUUUUGGAAACAUCAUUCUUUCAUUUGAAACCAUGGGAAAAAGGAGCUAAAGCCAUAGACAGAUUUGUGUGGGUGUCCAUAUUAGGAUUACCUUUGAUAGGAUGGAAUCGCAGAUGUAUUGAAUCCAUUAUUGAGAAAGCAGGGAAAAUGCUUGGAUAUGACAUUACCAGCGUGAGCCAAGGAUCUCUCACAGGCGUUAAAGUGCUGCUGAGCACAACCUCAUUUGAGAUGCUAAAUGAACAUGUUUUGCUGGUUCUAGAUGGCGACGAAUUUGAAAUCUCAAUCAUGGAAAUGAAACCGGAUUUUAGUCCCCUGCUGUCUACAAUCAAACAUUCAAUGGGUGCAACAGGUAUUCAAACAUCAGAUGAAGAGUUAUGCAGUGAAUUUGCAGCUUCAGAUGAGGUUACGGCAGCGGGCACAAAGAUUACUGACACUGAUGGUGAUCACUGUGCAACAGACAUUAUUUUAACACAGCAACAAAAGGCGGAUAAGGAUAGUGAUUUCUCUCUCAUUCUCUAUCAAGGGUACACUGGACCAACAAACAACUUGGAUCAUACUGACACAAGUUCAAAUAUUGCCUACCUUUUUCCUGAAACAAAAGAAACACGUGAUGAAGGGGCAACCGACAGUGAUAGCAACACAGAUGUCUCAGCACAUUCAGUUACAAGAGUGGGCCUUGUAAAAAACAGAAUCACAGGGCAGGUGAAAGGAACAAGGCUAAUCAACAAGGCAAUAAACUCAUGUAACUCAUUCUCUGAUUUCAUACGUGACCUGGCAGAGCCUCAAGAAAUAGUGGAAAUGGAACUACAGGAGAAAAAAAGGAAAAAGCUUAGACGAACCAGAAGACUUGGCCCUAAAUAUACAUACGGAAAAGGGAAGAAGGGGAAGAAAAACAGGCAUACUUUGGCUCUUAAUGACACAUCAGAUAUUGUUCCUGACUCAUUCAGAAACACAUCUCAAAAAGAAAACGGCUCUCCCCCUACUAUUAAGUCAUCUACUGAUCAACAUGAAGAUAUUACCUCUAAUCAUGCAUCCAUGGAUACAGAGACCAGUGAUACACAAAGCUCAUCUACCAACCCUUUUGAACUCUCAGUGCAGCCAAGAGGCCUCCUCAGAAGCGAUCAACGAAAACAACAGGAAUGCUAGAAGCAAAUCCAGGAAAAUAAAAUUGUUGCAAGCUAAUGGUAGUGUAGCUAACACUACUGAGAAAUGUGUCUCUUCUGAUUCCCUCAAUUCGGGAAUUAAGCAAGGCAAUGUCCGGUUCCAGACAACCUGUGAGAAUAAUCAAGCUGAUGGUUUUGAUAUAGAUAAGGAAACCCAGGAAAUGUUACAUGAUGCAGCGGCUCUAGGCUUGGGACCAUUCCAAGAUCUUAUAGGGUAUGAAGAGGGAGUUCGGGGGAACAUUGACAGAGAAGUAGACGAGUGGAAAUCAGUCAAUCAGUUGUAAGUUUCUUAACUUGCUAAGUUUUGUUCUGUCAUGGUUUUGAUCUACCUAUGAAUAUUUUUGCUUGGAAUAGUUGUGGGUUGGGUAUGUUGAACAAACGUCAUUCCAUCCGGAAUAGGUUGCUCAACAGUAAUGUUGAUAUCUGCUUUCUAUUAGAAACAAAAAAAGAUAAUUGUUGCGAUUCAUACAUCAGGAAUUUGUGGAAUGUGGUAACUGUUAAAUGGGCUUUGCUAGAGUCUGUAGGCAAAUCAGGAGGGAUAAUUGUGAUGUGGGAUAGUUCUAUCUUUGAGGUUAAUUCCAUAGAAUUUGGGGGGCAAUGGAUCAGCCUAUGCGGUAAACAUGUUCAUUCUUCCUUUAACUGCAUGGUAGUUGGUGUUAUGCUGCAUCUUCUGUGCAAGAUCGUGCUAAGCUGUGGGAAGACAUCACUACUCUGAAGUUUGCCUUUGAAUUACCAAUGGUGGUGAUAGGUGAUUUCAAUGAAACUCUUCAAGCUAAUGAGAGAAGUAGCGGCUACAUUAAUCAUUCAGGGUCAGCUGCUCUCCGUAAUUUCCUGUCCGAUUGUGCUCUGAUUGAAUUCAAACUGCAGGGCAACCGUUUCACUUGGUUUAGGGGGGGUUCUAUGAGCUGUAUUGACAGGGCUUUCGCAUCUCCAGAGUUCCACCUCCAGUUUCCAUUCUUAUCACUCUACCGUUAUCCUAGGGGGAUGUCUGAUCACUGUCAAUUGCUUCUUCAGGCACCAAAGGUAGAUUGGGGAUGGAAGCCUUUCCGCUUCAUAAAUAGUUGGUUGUCACACCCUACAUUCUCAGCUGAUUUUGAGAUCUUCUGGUUUGAUAGUUGCAAGGAAUUUCCCGGUGACUAUAGAUUGGUAAAGAAACUAGGAACUUUGGGGAAAAGACUGAGACAAUGGAACAAAUCCACCUUCGGUAAUCAAAAUUCAAAACUUGCAGACAUUCAGAACUCCAUCACAACCAUCGAAGACUUAAGCGAGGUACGCCUCUUGUCUGAGACUGAAAAAACAAAGCUCAAGAAUCUGAACUCUGAACUUUGGGAGGUUAGUAGGAAUGUCGAGGGCAUUUGGAGGCAGAAAUCCCGCCAAAACUGGUGCAAAAUGGGGGAUAAAAACACUCGGUUCUUCCAUCUUUCGGCAAGUUUGAGGAAUGGUCGGAACCACAUUAGUAAGAUUGAGCAGAAUGGCAGAUUUUUGGACUCUCCAAAUGACAUCAAAGAGGGUGCUGUCAACUUCUUCUCAACUCUGUUUGCCAAGCCACAAUGCAGAAGAAUUGAAAUGGGAGACUCAGGGUUCUCUAAAAUUUCAGAAGAAAGUUCAGUUUGGUUAGAAAGACUACCUUCAUUGGAGGAAGUGAAGCAAGCCGUAUGGGAUUGUGAUGGUUCAAAAGCCCCCGGUCCUGACGGGUUCACCUUCUCCUUCUAUAAAAAGGAAUGGAAUCUUAUCAGCCCUGACAUCUUUGUGAUGGUCACAGAAUUUUUCAGAACAGGUAAAUUACCAAAGGGGAUCGGCUCGUCCUUCGUGACUUUGAUUCCAAAGACCAAGAGGCCGAGCACUUUCUCCCAAUUUCGACCAAUUAGUUUGAUUCAUGGGUUAUAUAAAAUAGUGGCAAAGCUCUUGUCCACUAGGCUCCGAAGCAUUCUACCAGAUGUGAUAAGUGUAAACCAGUCUGCUUUCAUUGCCGGGCGUCAGAUUCUAGAUGGGUUCAUGAUAGCAAACGAGGUUGUCCAUAGUAUUCGUAGCAAAAAGGACCACGGGUUUUUGCUAAAGGUAGAUUUUCAUAAAGCCUUCGACUCGAUUUUAUGGGAGCAUAUCGAUUCUACCAUGGGUUAUAUGGGUUUUGGAUCUCACUGGAGGAAACUGAUCUUUGAAUGCAUGUCCACUUCUAAAUUGGCCAUCCUGAUUAAUGGCUCACCAAGCAGAGAAUUCAGUAUGGAGAGGGGUCUCAGGCAAGGGGACCCCCCUCUCCUUCCUUUUUGACAUAGCAGUUCAGGGGUUAACAGUUCUAUUCAACAGGGCAUCAGAUUCAGGUUACUUUAAAGGUUUACAGACUUCGCAAGGACAUCACAUAACCCAUUUGCAAUAUGCAGAUGACACUCUGAUUUUCCUGCCGAAUGAUUAUCUCUCUAUUGCAUGUCAAGAGGAUCCUCCGCUGGUUUGAGAUCAUUUCAGGACUGAAAGUUAAUUUCUAUAAAAGCUCACUUAUAGGAAUUAAUUUGGAUAACGAAUACACUUCAGGUCUGGCUAACACAAUUUUCUGUCGCAGUGACUCUUCCCAGUCAGAUACCUUGGGUUGCCUCUUGGUGCUAACCCAAAUAGGCUCUCCACUUGGAAACCGGUAUUGUCCACAAUCAGAGCAAAGUUAAGCAAAUGGAAAGGGAAGUUUUUGAGCAUGGCCGGAAGGAUAUGUCUUAUUAAAUCUGUCUUAAACUCUCUACCUCUAUACUAUAUGUCGGUCUUUAUUAUGCCAAAGGGCAUUGCAAAAGCAAUAUCCUCAAUCAACGAUGUUUUCUCUGGAAGGGCUCCUCAAAUUCACAUGGUAUUUGUAAGGUUGCUUGGCAUAAGGUAAUUAAGAGUAAGCCACUGGGAGGUCUCGGGCUUGGUUCUAUUCACAGUAAAAAUCUGGCUCUGAUGUUUAAAUGGCUUUGGAACCUUGACAAAGGAGUGGUAGGAGGUUGGCAAGAGCUCAUCUUACGAAAGUACCGGCCACAUUUUUCAAAUGGCCUUCCUGUGUUUGCAGGUUCUUUAUCUCCAACUUGGCGUGGCAUGGUAUCUGCAAUUUCCUUAAAUCACAGCAUAGCCGCUCCCAUCCAAUCCAAUGUUGGGUUUAAGGUGGGUGAUGGGAGAAACAUCAGGUUUUGGUCUGAUUCUUGGCUAGGCUAUGCAGCCCCUCUCCAGUUCAUGUUCCCUAGGCUCUACAACCUCUCCCUGCAGCAAUCUUUAAGCGUUGCAGAAGUUCAUAACCCAACAGAUAACUCAAUCAAUCUUUCUUGGAGAAGACCACUUCGAUCCCGAGAACUCUGCAUGUGUGAAAGCUUGAUAGCAGAAGUGGAACGUGGCCUAGUCUUCUCUGAUGGUGAAGACAACAAGAUUUGGAAACACCAUAGCUCCAACAAUUACACAGUCUCCUCUGGGUGCCAUCUCUUUGACGGUUUAAAUGUUUCAGGACAUCUGCACUCCCCUGCUUUGCUUUGGAAAGGGUUUGCGCCUCCAAAAAUAGAUGUGUUCAUAUGGCUUCUUUUCAAUGGCAGUGUCUGCACAAAGGGUUUCUUAGCUGAGAGGAGAAUCAUCAAUUACGAGGAAGCUCUUUGUCCUUUCUGCUGCAAGGAGAUUGAGACUACACAUCAUCUUUUCCAUCUUUGUCCAAAAUCAUGGUCUCUUUGGGGCAGACUAUUUAGUUGGUUUGGGUGUGUAGGUUGUCUGCCAAAAGAACCAUAUCAUAACCUUCAGGAAUGGUCUAACAUGGUAAAAGGAAAAUUCCAGCGUCAGGCAAUUUCCCUUCUCUGUAAAGGAUUAUACUGGUCAAUUUGGAUAGCGCGCAACCACAUGAUCUUUGACAACAAAACUCUAGACUGGGAUGUGAUUUUUGACCUCACCUUUCAUCGGUUGGCCUUUUGGUUGAAGUCCUUUGUUAAAAAUUUCAGCUAUACGGGCUCUGAUCUUUAUAGAAAUCCUGAAUGUAUUAUGAACUGGACUAACUAGUCAGGUCUUUAGAUUCCUUGUUUUCUUAAUGUAUUUUUAAUUUCCCAUGUAAUCUUCCUUAUCAGCCCUCAUCUCCUUAAUGGGGGCAUAUUAUUUAUAAUAUUCUCGAUUACUAUCAAAAAAAAAAAAAAAAAAGAACGUCGAAGGAUUGAUCAAAACCAGUCAGAAGGUUGCCAGCCAGAGAUAGAGCCUCGAGGGUUAUGGUACUCAUGUUCAUAAACCAUUUGGGUAUGUGUCCCACAAGCUCGUUUUGGCCAAGAUAUAAAAGCUCUAAAUGGUUUUGAUAACGCAAGAAACUGGGAAAUUCACCUAGAUUGUAUCCACCUAACGACAAUACUUCAAGUUUUGACCGAGGAAUGUUAGCAUUGUUGCUAUUAAGCAGAGACAGACUGGUAUUCGAUAAUUGGAGUAAAACAAGGUUUCUGAAAUUAAGAAGAAGGUUCAAAUCCAAAGUACCACUAAAGAAAUUAGAUGUUAGGUCAAGUUGUUCAAGAUUUUGAAGCCUAUAAAUAGACUCAGGAAUCGGACCGUGCAGUUCGUUGAAACUAAGGUAUAGUGCGGUUAAUUGGGUAUGGUUUCCUAUCCAAGAUGGAAUUUGACCAGUUAAUUUAUUUUGAUCAAGUGCCAAUUCGGUGAGCUGAGUCAAGUUUCUAAGAGAGGAUGGAAUGUUACCAUAUGAAUUGGUGCCUUCCAAGCCUACAUAAUUGAUAUUGGUUAGAUUACCAAGCCAAUCUAUGGUACCAGAUCUGAAAUUGUUGAAAGAAAGCGACAGAUAAGAAACUUGGAGAAGGUUGACAAAUGUGGAAGGGAUUUUCCCAGAGAAAAAGUUAUAAGAAAGGUCUAGAUAGAUCAGUUUUGUAAGAUUACCAAGUGAAGAUGGUAUCACCCCUGAAAAAUUACAUUCUGCCACAUCAAAUUCUUUCAUUGAUUUGAGGUUCCCAAGGGACCCCGGUAGCUGACCAGAGAAACUCGUCCCUGUAAGCAACAAUGAUUCAAGUUGGCUGCCCGACUGAAAUUCCGGCAAAUAUCCAGUGAGAUAUGGAUUAUACCGGAUACUGAGAAAGCGAAGGUUGGGUAAUUGGAAUAUACCCAUGGGGAACUCUCCUUGCAAUCCACACUCCCUGAGAAAUAGAUACGACAAAGAGGAUAAAUUUGCCAUGAUUUGAGGUACCUUGGCUGAUAUUUCCACUCCGCUGAGAUAAAGUACCUCCAAGUUGGUUAGUGCUUCAACUAAAUGUUGCAGACCAGGCUUUUGGAGCUUCAAAGUAUUCCAUCCCAGAUCAAGGGAAACCAACUUGGAAAGCUCUAAGAUCUCUGCUGGAAUCUGACCAGAAAAGCCAGACAUUGAGAGAUCUAGAUCAAACAGCCUUGAGAGAUUUCGAAUCUCAGAAGGGAUUUCAGAGUUGUUGAAGUCGUUGUCAGCAAGAUUCAGCCUUGUGAGCUGAACAAGGUGGAAGAGGCUGCUAUUGGAGUCGAUGGAGCCAUAAAGGCAGCUGCUACUGAGGUCAAGGCCGAUCACAUGACCAGAGUCUCCGUCACAUUCAACACCAUCCCAUGAGCAGCAAUCACCACUUUCUCCAUCAACUUUCCAUGAUGCAACCUUAGGAUAGGCAGAAGGCUCAUAAGAAGCGGACGCAUUAAUGACAAGGCUUUCCUUGAGCUGCAACAAGGCAUGACUCUCGUCAUCAUGGCAUAGAGGCUGCAUGGAAGGAGAAGAAUAACAAGCUCUAAGAUGAAACAAAGACAGCAAAAAGAGCAAAAGCAUCCGCAUGGUUAAGAAACACACAGGUGAUGCCAUGUUUUUUAGUAAAGAAACUCUUAUCUUUUUUAAUAAACAAGUAAGAGAAAUAAAGCAGUUUAUAUAGACAAAAAUAUUCAGUCUGGUAGAAAAGUAAACAAAGUAUUGUAUUUUUCAUUGAUUUGAUUGAAAACAAUGGAGAUUUUUCACUAAUUAUUUCUAUUGGAUCGAGCCAUCAAUCCAUUAUAUAUAUUAAGUAGUUAUUAAUUUUUCCUCUAUUUGAUGGUAUAACCGUUUGACUUUAACCAAUUAACGAAUAAAGGGAUUUUUAAGGAAAAAUUAUCUCCUCGAUGAUAUAAAAAAUAAUAAGAAUAAAAGUGUUUUUAAUCAAAAUUAAAAGUAAAGCUCUCAAAAUAUUAUUUUUUUCAAUAAAAAUACAAAAGUAAAUAGCUUUUAGUCAAUUUAAAUAGCGCACAACUAUUUUAUAUACGGUCUAAAGCAUCAAAUUGGGUUCUGAUUUUUAACCUCAUUUUUUACUAUUUGGCUUUUUAAUUAAAAUUUUCAAUUAAAAAUUUCAGCUAUAAAGACUCUAAUCAUUUUAGAAAUCUUAAAUAUAUCAUAGACUAACUAGAAAGAUUUCUCGUUGCCUUGCUUUCUUUUUUCAAGUUUUUCCUUAUUUUCCUUUAUCUUUCAGCCCUCAUUUAUUUGAUGGUGCUGUCUAAUAUAUAAUUCUCUCAAUUAUUAUUUUUUAAAAAAUAAAAGAGAUCAAAAUCUCUUGUUUACAAUUUUUUCUCCAAAUGAGGUCUUCUUUAGUAGUUUCUCUUCUGCUUUUGUCCUUGCUUCGACAGACGAAGAGUCUAUGUAUAUACUAAAAUUAUCAAUCAUUAAUUUAAAGUUGCAUUAUCAAUCAUUUCAAGUUGCCGAAGAGUCUUAUUUUUGCAUUUUAUAUUAUUAGUUUUAACAUUUAUUGUUAUUAAUUUUCAGUAGGGAUUCGUUUAGAAAGAGGAUCCAUGCAAGAUUGAGCUCAAAAUGUCCAGGUGGGUUUUAUAUAUUCAGCAUCCAUUGUGAUGCAUUCAAAUGAAUAUUUUUACUUAUUUUCAAUUUACCUUCAAUUUACUUAUUUUCAAUUUACCUUCAAUUUACCUUCAAUUUAUUCAGCAGAGGAUCGAGAGGAGUUCUUCGAAAGAAAGAAGUAAUGAUGGUGCUGUGCUGGGAGAAACCAUUCUCUGCAAAGAAUGGCAAUGUACAGGUACCAUGGAGAAAAGAUAACUGUCCAAAAAAUCAGAG
rnacentral:lncRNA from 1 species